GAUGAACGCUGGCGGCGUGCCUAAUACAUGCAAGUCGAGCGAACAGACGAGGAGCUUGCUCCUCUGACGUUAGCGGCGGACGGGUGAGUAACACGUGGAUAACCUCCCUAUAAGACUGGGAUAACUUCGGGAAACCGGCGCUAAUACCGGAUAAUAUAUUGAACCGCAUGGUUCAAUAGUGAAAGACGGUUUUGCUGUCACUUAUAGAUGGAUCCGCGCCGCAUUAGCUAGUUGGUAAGGUAACGGCUUACCAAGGCAACGAUGCGUAGCCGACCUGAGGGGGUGAUCGGCGACACUGGAACUGAGACACGGUCCAGAGGCCUACGGGAGGCAGCAGUAGGGAAUCUUCCGCAAUGGGCGAAAGCCUGACGGAGCAACGCCGCGUGAGUGAUGAAGGUCUUCGGAUCGUAAAACUCUGUUAUUAGGUAAGAACAAAUGUGUAAGUAACCAUGCACGGCGUGACGGUACCUAAUCAGAAAGCCACGGCUAACUACGUG
rnacentral:rRNA from 1 species